rnacentral:tRNA from 2 species
UGGGCUUAUGGUCUAAUGGAUAAGACAUUAACCUUCUAAGUUGAUCAUGUAGGUUCGAAUCCUACUAAGCUCAG